GCUUCUCCCAGGUCCGCUUUCAGAUUUAUGAUGUAGAUUUCAUCACUUUUCCUUUUGUAGAUGUACUGUUCCAUCUGGAAAUCCAGCAACAAGAUCUUCAGGAGAUUGAAAACUAAUCUUGCUUUUAUUUGCCAACCUGAACAAAACUGGCCAACACUCUCCACGACAGUGAUAUGCCAGGAGUGUUCCCUUCCUGAGCUCCUGCAGCACCCAGCCAGGAAGGAAGCAGCAACCUUGACCCUGAGAAUGAAGAUGCCCACAGGGAGAGUCAAAGCGGGACCUCAUUUGCUUAAGUGAAUCCUCUAUGGUUUCUCUGCACUGUUCCUCCUGUGGAAAGAUCCUGUAAGGGAACCUGCUCACUUUUUUAAAGACCACCAACAUUCCAAGGUAGGAGUGGAGGGAGCAUUUCAGAUGGGAAGGGCUGUACCUCCUUUAUUCUCAUCGUCAUUACCACCCCUGCAGGAGACAGACCCGCCCCCAGGGGGAAAGGGGAUUCUCCACAGAAGCAGAGCCAAUCAGGGCUAUCUAUCUAUAUCAGGGAGCUGCUUGCAGAAUCAGGUCUUCACCCUGGAUGGAUUACUUAGCCACUGGCUCUGUGAUCACCUUAAAGAGAAAUGGGCCCUGAGUCUGACUCUGGC
ensembl:lncRNA